CGAUAACGAACGAGACCUUAGCCUGCUAAAUAGGAUCGGGAACCUCGGUUCUCGCAUCACUUCUUAGAGGGACUUUGCGUGUCUAACGCAAGGAAGUUUGAGGCAAUAACAGGUCUGUGAUGCCCUUAGAUGUUCUGGGCUGCACGCGCGCUACACUGAUGCAUGCAACGAGUUUUUGACCUUGGCCGGAAGGUCUAGGUAAUCUUUUGAGUAUGCAUCGUGAUGGGGAUAGAUUAUUGCAAUUAUUAAUCUUCAACGAGGAAUGCCUAGUAGGCGCAAGUCAGCAGCUUGUGCCGAUUACGUCCCUGCCCUUUGUACACACCGCCCGUCGCUGCAACCGAUCGGAGGGUCCUGUGAACUCGAUGGACAGCCCAUCCCCUUCUUGGGGUUGGGCUGGAAGUUGCGUAAAUAGCGCCCUCUAAAGGAUGCAAAAGUCGUAACACGGUUUCCGUAGGUGAACCUGCGGAAGGAUCAUUC
rnacentral:rRNA from 1 species